rnacentral:rRNA from 1 species
CACGUAGGAGACGAGCGUUAUCCGGAUUUACUGGGUGUAAAGCGCGUGCAGGCGGUAUGGUAAGUUGGAUGUGAAAGCUCCUGGCUUAACUGGGAGAGGUCGUACAAGACUGCCAGACUAGAGGACAGCAGAGGGGAGUGGAAUUCCGAGUGUAGCGGUAAAAUGCAUAGAUAUUCGGAAGAACACCAGUGGCGAAGGCGGCUCUCUGGGCUGUACCUGACGCUCAGACGCGAAAGCUAGGGUAGCAAACGGG